GCCUUCGUGGUGCAGUGGUCAGCGCACUUCACGCGUAACCGAGAGGUCCGUGGUUCGAGUCCCGGCGAAGGUG
rnacentral:tRNA from 1 species